rnacentral:lncRNA from 1 species
CAGCUAUUUCAAACCAUAAAGAUGAGGGCUGUCCCCUAGGGAUGGUAGAACUAAGAGCCAGAAAAGACUAAGUUCUCGAUAAUCAUUUGGAACUGCAAUAGUGGUCCUGGACUACCUAUCUCUAGACUUCUUUUACAUAGGGAGAAAUAUACUUCUCUGUGAAGCCACAACCUUUUAGGAUUUUCUGUCACUUGCAGGUGAAUAUAAAUCUGUUGGAUACAAUAUUGUGUGCAUGGUAGGUGGGCCGUCAGUGGUGAGCCGGGGCUGCCAUUCAGAGAGGUGGUAGCAGCUCUCCAGACUGAAAAGGAUCUGGAUGGUUUCAGUGAUGGAGGCAGCAGAUUAUCUGGGCUGAGCUCAAAGUCCCAUGCAAAUGAAGAGCCGUGCCUCCAGGGUGAUCGGAAGCCUCAGCACCAGCAUCCCCAGCAGCCUGCUCCACCUACUCAGAAGUCCUCGGGCAGCAUUUAAGGACACGAAUCACCUGACUUCACUGCGGGGAAAUCCUCUCACGGCAUGACUUCCUGUCACAGUAGAAUAGAACCCACGCUCCGACCCAUGACCUACAGCUCUCAGCAUGCUCACUCUAAGAGCUCUGCCAGCUUACAGCCCUCACGUCCUCAUGGUGCCAGCAGCCUCCAAACCUGGUCCUGCGACACAGGAUCUCUGUUGGUUCCUCAUCCUGGGAUGCUUUUCCCAGACCCUCCAUGUCUAGCUCCUUCCUCCCAUUAUCUGACAGCUCUGUGGAAUGCAACCCCACCCACCCAUCAUCACUAUCUCCCAUUCUGCCUUAGUUUCUUCCUUCGUUCUUCCUUUUCUUUUUGACAAGGUCUUGCUCUGUUGCCCAGGCUGGAGUUCAAUAGUGCAAUCAUGGCUCACUGCAGCCUCAACCUCCUUGAUCCUUGAUCCUCCCAUCUCAGCCUCCCAGGUAGCUGGGACCACAGGUGUAAGCCACCAAACCUGGCUAAUUUUUGUUGUUGUUGUUUGCGUUUUUGAGAAAGGGUCUCACUCUGUUGCUCCCUGGGUUCAAGUGAUUCUCCCAUCUGAGCCUCCCGAGUAUCUGGGACUAUAGGCACGUGCCACUACGCCCGGCUAAUUUUUGUUUUUGUUUUUGCUUUUGUUUUUGUUUGAGACUGAGUCUCACUCUGUUGCCCAGGCUGGAGUGUAGUGGUGCAAUCUCCACUCACCGCAACCUCCACCUCCUGGGUUCAAGCGAUUCUCCUGCCUCAGUCUCCCAAGUAGCUGGGAUUACAGGCGCAUGCCACUAUGCCCGGCUAAUUUUUGUAUUUUUAGUAGAGAUGGGGUUUUGCCAUGUUGGCCAGGCUGGUCUUGAACUCCUGACCUCAGGUGAUCCACCCACCUCAGCCUCCCAAAGUGCUAGGAUUACAGGCAUGAGCCACUGCACCCAGCCAGACUUGCUAAUUUUUGUAUUUUUUUUGUAGAGACGGAGUUUCACUAUGUUGCCCAGGCUGGUCUUGAACUUCUGGGCCAAGUGAUCUGCCAAAGUGCUGGGAUUACAUGUGUGAACCACCAUGACUGGCCUGCCUUAGUUUUCUUAGUAGUAUUUAUCCCUGCCUAAAAUUCUCUUCGAUGACUAUUGUCUUACACAUGCAUUUGUUUACUGAUUUCUCUCCUUCCCUAGAACGUACAAGUUCCAUGGAAGCAGAGACUUAGUUGGCUUGUUCACCACUCUAUCUCCAAUGCCUAGAUGGUGGCUGGCACUCAUGAGGAGCUCAAUAAAUAUAUGUUGAAUGAAUGGAUG